CUCAGUGGAACCUUGAAAGACGUGGAAUAUUCAGAGGACCCUGUGAUGAAAACUGGUUUUAUUUUCCUCCUUUAAAUUCCUGUUACCGGUUUUUCAGUGGCAAGAAGACAUGGCUGGAUGCUGAGGAUUUCUGUAACCAAGACCCACACUAUGGACAGCUGGCUUCUGUGAUCUCGAGCGAACACAAUAGUUUCAUUUCUAAUGUGGUCAGUACUGUGGACAAAAACAAACCAUUUGCAUGGAUUGGCCUGAACGACAGAUGCGAGGAAGGGACAUACACAUGGAUUGAUGGAUCUUCAGGGAGUUUCCAAAAAUGGGAUCAGGGUCAACCUGACGAUUAUAAAUACAAAGAAGACUGUGUGCACACUAAUCAUUGGA